UACAGAGGUCUCAAGCGUUGUUCGGAUUUACUGGGCGUAAAGGGCGCGUAGGCGGCGUGACAAGUCACUUGUGAAAUCUCCGGGCUUAACUCGGAACGGUCAAGUGAUACUGUCGUGCUAGAGUACAGAAGGGGCAACUGGAAUUCUCGGUGUAGCGGUGAAAUGCGUAGAUAUCGAGAGGAACACCUGCGGCGAAGGCGGGUUGCUGGGCUGAUACUGACGCUGAGGCGACGAAAGCCAGGGAGCGAACGGG
rnacentral:rRNA from 1 species